rnacentral:rRNA from 1 species
UCUUCGGAUGAUUUUCAGUUGACUGAGCGGCGGACGGGUGAGUAACGCGUGGGUGACCUGCCCCAUACCGGGGGAUAACAGCUGGAAACGGCUGCUAAUACCGCAUAAGCGCACAGAGCUGCAUGGCUCGGUGUGAAAAACUCCGGUGGUAUGGGAUGGACCCGCGUCUGAUUAGGCAGUUGGCGGGGUAACGGCCCACCAAACCGACGAUCAGUAGCCGGCCUGAGAGGGCGACCGGCCACAUUGGGACUGAGACACGGCCCAAACUCCUACGGGAGGCAGCAGUGGGGAAUAUUGCACAAUGGGGGAAACCCUGAUGCAGCGACGCCGCGUGAGCGAAGAAGUAUUUCGGUAUGUAAAGCUCUAUCAGCAGGGAAGAUAAUGACGGUACCUGACUAAGAAGCCCCGGCUAACUACGUGCCAGCAGCCGCGGUAAUACGUAGGGGGCAAGCGUUAUCCGGAUUUACUGGGUGUAAAGGGAGCGUAGACGGCAAGGCAAGUCUGAUGUGAAAACCCAGGGCUUAACCCUGGGACUGCAUUGGAAACUGUCUGGCUCGAGUGCCGGAGAGGUAAGCGGAAUUCCUAGUGUAGCGGUGAAAUGCGUAGAUAUUAGGAAGAACACCAGUGGCGAAGGCGGCUUACUGGACGG